UGAACAGAAUCUGCUUCGGGCUUGAGCUAUGGGAAACGUUUUGGAUGAAAGGCCCAAAUCCUUCCAUCCGGCUCCAAGAUUCGAGUUCCAACAUGAAUAGGUCAGCUUGAAGGAACCCACACAUUCCCACUUACACACUCCGCCAAGAACCCUGUGAAUCGCCACCCUACUCGCGAAUAGAGGUGUAAUCGCUAGAAGAAUCUCAUGAAUUGAUUUCUCCGUUUCACAAAUAACCAGGAACAAAACACUUUCAACGCUUCGACCCGGGUCAUAGAUUUAAUAUCGAGUUGAGAAUGGCGUCGAGGUCAAGGUCGACGUCGAUGUUUUUUCGCGGAAUGAACGUAAUCGGAAGGAGAAACAAAAGAAAAGAGCUCACUGACCUCACUAUCCGAUCCGGACGGUAGCGAUUUCGAGGUGCUUCUGUAUUGCGGUUCAGUCUAUGAAGUAGAGGGUGAGGAAGAUGCGAUUCCUGGAGGUGAUGAAGGUUUUUGUUGAAAGGUUGUUGGAGAGUGAAGAAGGUUCUAUAUGGAAGUAGGUUUUUUCUUCUUCUUCUCAUUUCUGUUCGUGUUGUGUUUGAAGAUUGUCGUGAAGUUCGUUGUGAAAGGUUGCGAGGUGGUUCGAUUAGGGGAUUUUGGUUGAGGUUGCAAGUUAGAAGAUGAAAGUUGGAGGAGGUUCUUCCAUGGAAGGUUUGUUGCCAGAAUUUUGAGGGAGGUUGAGGUUGAAAUUGUGAGGAAUUUCUGUUCAGUUUUUUUUGGGUAGUGCUGCUUGCAGCGGUUGAGGGUUGAAGAGGGUGAAGGGGGUGAAGAGUUGUGGAAGUUAGGAGGAGUUUUUCUUCUUGAAUAUUAUGCGGGUGGAAUCCAGUUAUGUACUCUGUUGGAGGGUUCUCAUUGUUUUUGGAUUUCUAUUUUUUGAAGUGAAGUUCCAUUACCAUUGGUGCAGGAUUCUGUUAUAUAUUUUGUUAGAAGUUUUGGUUUUCAGUUAUGAAAGUUAUGAUAGUUCAUUCUGUUUGCAGGUUGUUGGAUUUUGUUGAAGUUCUGUUAUAUCGGUUGGAAAUUUGGUUAGAGCCAGUUGGAGGAAGUUAGAAUUCGGUUGAGUGUUUCAGUUGGAAAAUCGGUUAUCCAUACUGUUGGAGGUUAAAAGGUUAGUUACCGGUUCAAUUGUGGUUCGCCGGUUUGAAGGGUGAUUUUUGUGAGUAGGUUAAGGGAUUUCUUUUUUCAAGCAAUCAUAGAGAGAUGAAAAUUGAGAAAUUGAAGAGCGAGAGAAUAUGGGAAGUGAUCAAUGGAUUGAGAGGGAGCAAAAAGUUCCGAACUUUCAACUUGGGUAUUGAAUUGGUAUCCAUUACUUGUAUAGGGUUUUAUGUAUGUAGUACUAGAAGGAAAGUUAGGAGUUAUCAGCAUCUUCAAUCUCAGUGAAACACCUUAUUUUGUUACGUGGUAGCUGUUGCUGCUAAGUGGUUACUGUGUGUUUUUUUUUGUGUGCAACUUAUACAUGGAUGACAUUUGUAAUGCGCCAUGAAUGAGAUUUUUGAAAUGAAAUGAAUGAGACUAUUUUGCUCCUC